rnacentral:rRNA from 1 species
GCAGGUUGAAGCGCGGGUAAGACCGCGUGGAGGACCGAACCCACCUGGGUUGAAAACCGGGGGGAUGACCUGGGGCUAGGGGUGAAAGGCCAAUCAAAUUCCGUGAUAGCUGGUUCUCUCCGAAAUGCAUUUAGGUGCAGCGUCGGUUGAUUGCGUCGCGGGGGUAGAGCUACCGGAUGCUUGCGGGCCCUUGUUGGGUACCAACAGCAGCCGAACUCCGAAUACCGUUGACGUGUAUUCCGGCAGUGAGUCGGCGGGGGAUAAGCUCCGUCGUCGAGAGGGAGACAGCCCAGACCGUCGUCUAAGGUCCCGAAGCGUGUGCUAAGUGGGAAAGGAUGUGGAGUCGCAUAGACAGCCAGGAGGUUGGCUCAGAAGCAGCCAUCCUUGAAAGAGUGCGUAACAGCUCACUGGUCUAGUGGUUCCGCGCCGACAAUGUAGCGGGGCUCAAGCACACCACCGAAGACGCGGCAGCAAUCUUCAUGGUUGCUGGGUAGGAGAGCGUCCUGCGAGGGGCGAAGCGGCCGGGUAACCGUGCCGUGGACUUCGUGGGAGUGAGAAUGCAGACAUGAGUAGCGAGAGACGGGUGAGGAUCCCGUCCGCUGGAUGACCAAGGGUUCCGGGGCCACGUUCGUCGUCCCCGGGUGAGUCGGGUCCUAAGGCGAGGCCGACAGGCGUAGUCGAAUGGAUGAACGGGUGGAUAUUCCCGUACCGACCAUGGACCGGCAAAACCGAGACGGUGAGUACUAACCUCCGCCUCGUGGUGGUUCCUUCCUUCGGGUUGGUUCCGCCGCGUGGUGUUGGGACCGUAGCCGCAGUAGGUCAGCGCAGGGGUGACACGGAAUGGGAGCCGGCCGCGGAGGUGGUUUUCCGUGGUCAAGCACGCAGCCAGUCAUGUAGGCAAAUCCGCAUGGCGCGCAUGGCGAGGUGUGAUGAUGGGAGCCGUUAUGGCUCGAUAUCCGGUUGUCCAGGCCGUCGAGAAAAGCCUCGGCGUGAGGGCCAUGGCCGCCCGUACCCCAAACCGACACUGGUGGUCAGGUAGAGAAUACCAAGGCGAUCGAGCGAAUCCUGGUCAAGGAACUCGGCAAAUCACUCCCGUGCCUUCGGUAUAAGGGAGACCCGCUGGGGUGAACCGGCUAGCCCGGGGAGCUUUGGUGGGUGGCACAGACCAGGGGGUAGCGACUGUUUACCAAAAACACAGGUGCAUGCGAAGGCGAAAGCCGCUGUAUAUGCACUGACGCCUGCCCGGUGCCGGAAGGUUAAGAGGAUCCGUCAACUCUUCGGAGCGAAGCGGUGAAUUCAAGCCCCGGUAAACGGCGGUGGUAACUAUAACCAUCCUAAGGUAGCGAAAUUCCUUGUCGGGUAAGUUCCGACCUGCACGAAUGGCGUAACGACUUCCCCACUGUCUCGACCAGGAGCUCGGCGAAAUUGCAGUACGAGUAAAGAUGCUCGUUAAGCGCAGAAGGACGAAAAGACCCCGGGACCUUUACUAUACCUUGGUAUUGGCGUUAGGCGCGGAUUGUGUAGCAUAGGCGGGAGGCUUCGAAGCGUGGGCGCCAGCUCAUGUGGAGCCGCAAGGUGAAAUACCGCUCUGUUCUCGUUUGAUGUCUAACCUCGAACAGUCAUCCUGUUCAGGGACAGUGCCUGGCGGGUAGUUCAACUGGGGCGGUUGCCUCCCAAAGAGUAACGGAGGCGCUCAAAGGUCCGCUCAGCCCGGUUGGCAAUCGGGUGUCGAGUGUAAUCGCACAAGCGGGCUUGACUGCGAGGACGACGGUCCGAGCAGGGACGAAAGUCGGAGAUAGUGAUCCGGUGCCGGCGCACGGGCGCGGCAUCGCUCAACGGAUAAAAGGUACCCCGGGGAUAACAGGCUGAUCAUUCCCAAGAGUCCAUAUCGACGGGAUGGUUUGGCACCUCGAUGUCGGCUCGUCGCAUCCUGGGGCUGGAGAAGGUCCCAAGGGUUCGGCUGUUCGCCGAUUAAAGCGGCACGCGAGCUGGGUUCAGAACGUCGUGAGACAGUUUGGUCUCUAUCCUCUGCGCUCGUUGGAAUCCUGAGGAGGCCUGCCCAUAGUACGAGAGGACCUGGGUGGACGAACCUCUGGUAUGCCGGU